ensembl:lncRNA
CUAUAGUUAUAAUUGGUCUCUUACAAUUCCUAUCAAUUCAGACACAGUUUCUCUUCCCCUCCAGCUCUAACUCCCCUCUCCCCAAGCCCCAAUUCCCACCCCAGGCAAGCCCCACCCGUGUCUCCCCCUCCUCCUCCUCCUCCUCCUCCUUCCACACUAAACACCCCUUUUUUUUUUUUCCUGUUUUCUCUGCUUUCCCCCUUUUUUUUUUCCCCAGAGUACAUCCAGAAAUAUGCAACAGAAGAAGCACUGAAGGAGCAGGAGGAAGGCACCGGGGACAGCUCCUCCGAGAGCUCCAUGUCCGACUUCUCCGAGGACGAGGCCCAGGACAUGGAAUUGUAGUUGGGAUGAGCAGGAAGGAGGAGGAGGAGGAGGAGGAGGAAGAGGAGGAAUAAUGAGCAGCCCCCCCCCCCCCCUGCUUUUCAGAGACCUCAAUUUCCUAACCAUGAGGAAGCAGAACUGUAUAAUAUUCAUAUUAAACCAGAAGAAAAAAAAAAAAUAAAAAAAGGAGAAAAAAAAACAAAAAAAAAAAAGCAAUUUUUUUUAUUACUAAAAAAAAAACAAACAAACAAGGUUUUUAUGGAUUAUAGCAUUGAUAUAUUAUAUCUAUAUCUCUCUCUCUCUCUCUCUCUCUCUCUCUCACCUCACCCCUUUAGAGCCUGAGAUUUUUCCCUCCCUCCCUUCCUUUCCUUCCUUCCCUCUUUUCCCAGCCAGUGUCCCGAGGGGCGGGUGGCAUUCCCACAUUCCAUGUUGGUAGCAAUACAGGAGUGCAGAUCCCAGGGGGUGUUCCCUGGGCUAUCUAUCCCAGGAGAGGGAAGGGAAUGAGCGGCCAAAAAAACCCAAAAACCUCCCCCCUCCCAAAACAACCACGAAAACCUGGGAUGUGUCUUUGCUUUUUGCGGGAACGGCGUCGCCCUCCUCCGGAUCCCGGGAUUUCUGGGGUGGCAGGAGCAGGCACAGGGAUGGAAGGGGCUCCUCCAGCCAGGAGAAAAGAGAGGGAACGAGUCCAAUCCCACCCCACGGCCUGGAAGUGUCUCCACUUGGAUUCCUCGCCCGUCGUUUUCCGCGGAUCCCUCCCGGAGCUGUCGGGACUGCGCCGACCCCCGGCGGGAUUCCCUCCGAAAAAAAAACCUCGGGAUGUUGCUGUUGUCAUUUCUGCUCCCCUUCGGGGCCGGAUGGACCAGGAGCUGUUCCCUGUGCUGGGAGGGAAGGCCCCGGCGGACUCUUGGAACGCUUUGGAAUUCCCCGGGAGCGCUUGGAAUUGGGAGAACCCUUUCCCUGGGAUCGGGACCUGCUGCCCUGGAAUGGCUUCGAGUUGGCUUUUGGGUUGUUCUCUCUUAGAUUUAUUUUUUUUUUUUUUUUUUGCCCUCCUCCUUUUGUUUUUUUUUCGGAUUUUUUCCCGCUUGGAAUUUGGGUAAAACCCAUCCAGGAGCUGCAGAUCCACAGGGAUUAUCCGGAAUCCACGAAUCCCUCGGAGCUGAUUUGAGUUGAGUUGAAUUUUUUUUGGUUGGUUGGUUGGUUUUUUUCUCUUUUUUUUUGUUUUUUUUUCCCUUUUUUUCCCCUUUUUUCCCCCCCUUUUCCCACCCCCCUUUUUCUUGCACCAGCUUGGUUCCCACAUCUUGCUUGUGUGUGUAAAAAAAAAAAAAACUGCGGGAAAACGAGAAAUUCCUGAGAGAGUGGGUUUAAAAAAAAAAAAAACAAUAAUUAAAAAAAAAAAUGUCGGGGAAGAAGAAGAAGAAAAGACAGAAGAAAAAAAAAGAAGAAGGAAAUUAAAAAAAAAAAAAAAAAAAAAAAAAGGAAAAAAAAAAAAAAAAAACCACAGCAAAAAAAAAUAAAAAAAAUCAUUUUGUGGAAAAAAAAAAAACA